UACGAAGGGGGCUAGCGUUGUUCGGAAUUACUGGGCGUAAAGCGCACGUAGGCGGAUAUUUAAGUCAGGGGUGAAAUCCCAGAGCUCAACUCUGGAACUGCCUUUGAUACUGGGUAUCUUGAGUAUGGAAGAGGUAAGUGGAAUUCCGAGUGUAGAGGUGAAAUUCGUAGAUAUUCGGAGGAACACCAGUGGCGAAGGCGGCUUACUGGUCCAUUACUGACGCUGAGGUG
rnacentral:rRNA from 1 species